UUCUCUUCUGCCAUCUCUAAAGAGCAUGACAAAUGUUACUCUAGCAAAGAAACGAAUUGUUCAGUGCAAAUCUACUUGGCAAUUGCCUUGCCAUAAAGGUAUUUACAGCAGGGCUGCUCGCAGUGUGCUUGACUCACUCAUGCGGGGCAAUGCAGCGCUUCUUCCUGAAGAGCUCCUGAUCUCAGUCCCAGGGCAUCUGGGCAUCUGAGAUGGGUGCAGCAUUUAGAGGUGCAGCAUCUCAUGCUGAUAGGAUCAAGCAACAAUGUCAGCUUGGGGGACAAGCAGCCAGGGCAAAGGAGAAGAUCGGACCUUGGCCUCUUCAACUCAGAUGUGCUCUGUCCCUCCAGCAGUGAGGGAGAAUAUCAAAGGGGAGGAUAUAGCCUGCAAAUCUUCUGUCUUGAUCGAAAUGAAGACCUUUCCACAGCCCACACCUCUGAAUCAAAGGGGGCAAGUUCAUCCCCUUCCUCCCAGUUGUCAGGCUGUUGGGAAUUAGUUGGGAUAGCCCUUAUCAAAGGAAAUGUGUCCCUUUCCUUAAGCUUGUCUGCUCGGUGUUGUCGUGUAAACACAGAUCAAUAAGGUGACAUAAAUCCUAUCCUAUUACCAGUAUUCAGCGGCAAAUGAAGUACCCUUAAGCUUAACAUAUUAUCAUUUCAUGCAUUUAACAAUUAAAGACAUCGAUAGAAUUAAUUACUUCUGAGGUGAGUCUUUAUAAUUAUCUCCUUCUAAUGAAGUUUGCAACCAGUCCAGCAUGGCUUUAUGUCACUAGCAGAAAUCAAAGAUAAUUUCACAGUUGGAUAGAAAAGGUUUAUUUAACAGGCCUUGUGUUUCUUCUCUUAAGUUUCCCUUAAGAGGGAAGAGCUCGUGAGGAAAGAGCUCAUCAAGCUCUGAUACGAGAACUUGAUAAAGAACUGUCUACAACUGGGGUUCUGGCUAUGUUUUAGUUGCUCCAAGUAUAAAUAUUUUAGGCAUUGUGGGGUGUUAUUUUUGUUUGUUUUUUGUUUUGUUGGCGUGUUUUGUUUUGUUUUGUUUGGAAGGAAGGCUCUCUGUUCCACCACAAAACAUGUCAACUGCAUAUUUAUUUAUUUGUUGCUCUGCAUUAUGACCACCUGAAAGAAACCAGCUGGGUCAAUCAAAAGUGCUGGACGUUCAAGUGAUAGUGGGAUUGCAAAGGAAAACUCAGCAUGCCACAAGGAACAGAGUACAAAUGGCGUUGGACAGAGUUUGUCUAGAGGAGAUGCC